UACGAAGGGUGCAAGCGUUACUCGGAAUUACUGGGCGUAAAGCGUGCGUAGGUGGUUCGUUAAGUCUGAUGUGAAAGCCCUGGGCUCAACCUGGGAACUGCAUUGGAUACUGGCGAUCUGGAGUGCGGUAGAGGGUGGCGGAAUUCCCGGUGUAGCAGUGAAAUGCGUAAAUAUCGGGAGGAACAUCCGUGGCGAAGGCGGCCACCUGGACCAGCACUGACACUGAGGCACGAAAGCGUGGGGAGCAAACAGG
rnacentral:rRNA from 1 species